AGUGAACGCUGGCGGUAGGCCUAACACAUGCAAGUCGAACGGCAGCACAGUAAGAGCCUGCUCUUACGGGUGGCGAGUGGCGGACGGGUGAGGAAUACAUCGGAAUCUACUUUUUCGUGGGGGAUAACGUAGGGAAACUUACGCUAAUACAGCAUACGACCUACGGGGGAAAGCAGGGGAUCUUCGGACCUUGCGCGAGUGGAUGAGCCGAUGUCGGAUUAGCUAGUUGGCGGGGUAAAGGCCCACCAAGGCGACGAUCCGUAGCUGGUCUGAGAGGAUGACCAGCCACACUGGAACUGAGACACGGUCCAGACUCCUACGGGAGGCAGCAGUGGGGAAUUUUGGACAAUGGGCGCAAGCCUGAUCCAGCCAUGCCGCGUGGGUGAAGAAGGCCUUCGGGUUGUAAAGCCCUUUUGUUGGGAAAGAAAAGCAGCAGGUUAAUACCCCGCUGUUCUGACGGUACCCAAAGAAUAAGCACCGGCUAACUUCGUG
rnacentral:rRNA from 1 species